CGAGAGGUGCUGGGAGCUAGUCUCUCUCACAUCCAAGGCAGGGGAAGAAUUAAGAGCUCCCUCGGUGAAGAAGCCCACUAGGAUGACUUUCAGACAUAACAACAGGAAGAAGAAAAAGUGAUUGUACAUACUGGAAGGUGCACCUGUCAGAAAACAAGAUGGCGUCUCAUGUUACCUUGAGGUCUCAGAUACCAGGGACUGGGAGGAGGAGGGCCCAGGUCAAACCUACAAGGAUCAACCACCAAUUUACAGGUAACAAUACUACAGAUAAAAACAUAAAAUAUAUCAUAUUCCACAUGUCCUUUCACUUAAUAUUCAGUUUACCUUUUGUUCUUCACAGGUGCAAAUACUUAACAAGUUGGCCCUAAGAGUACGGCAGUAGUUAAAACGAGGAAUUAAAACGUUGGUCCUCAAACCGUAUAUACUUCAAUUGAGAAGUCUGAGARGUAUGCAUAUGAUGCUCUUGCUUGUAUAUUAGGUACCGUGGUGUAGCUACUAGCUGAUGCAGUCAUCCCCAGUGUUGUGUUGUGGUACAGAAUAGUUUUCUAUUGUGCGUAAAUAAAUGAGAGAAAGGGAGUGGAAGUUA